GUGCUUGCUUCGGCAGCACAUAUACAAAAAAAUUUGAAUGAUACAGAGUAGAUUAGCAUAGGCCCUGUGCAAGGAUGACAUGCAAAUUCAUGAAAUGUUCCAUAGUUUU